ACGGGGUGCAGCAGGCGCGAAACCUCUACAAUGCACGAAAGUGUGAUAGGGGAAUUCCACGUGCAAGCUUUGCUUGCUUUUCUCAAGUCCAAAACGCUUGGGGAAUAAGGGCUGGGCAAGACCCGUGCCAGCCGCCGCGGUAACACGGGCAGCUCAAGUAGCGUUCGCGAAUAUUGGGCCUAAAGCGUGCGUAGCCGGCUUAGUAAGUUCCUGGUGAAAGUAUGCGACUUAAUCGUGUAAGUUGCCAGGAAUACUGCUCGGCUUGGGACCGGGAAGGGUUGGAGGUAUUUCCGGGGUAGGGGUAAAAUCCUGUAAUCCCGGAAGGACCAUCGGUGGCGAAGGCGUCCAACUGGAACGGGUCCGACGGUGAGGCACGAAAGCUAGGGGAGCGACCCGGAUUAGAUACCCGGUUAGUCCUAGCCGUAAAUGAUGCAGGUUUGGUAUUGCACUUCUUACGAGGAAUUGCAGUGCCGUAGGGAAGCCGUUAAACCUGCCGCCUGGGAGUACGGCCGCAAGGC
rnacentral:rRNA from 1 species